GAGGGUAUAACUCAGUGGUAGAGUGUGUGCCUAGCAUGCACGAGGUCCUGAGUUCAAUCCCCAGCACCUCCA
rnacentral:tRNA from 1 species